UAGAUUGAUUACCCACGAGCGGUCCCUCGUUUAGGGUAGUAAAGUUGGUUUUCUUUCGAUAAGAGAGCGCAUUUUUAGCGUAGGUUGGAAAGCCGACAGUCCCCAGUAACUGGCAGGGGGAGGCGGUUUGCGGGGCUCUGCCGGGGGGUGGCAGCGGGGGCGGGGGGCGCUGGGUCAACCUCUCCUCAAACUCUCCCGGCGUCGGGCCAGCCGGGGGGAAGCUGCGAAUGCGCGAGGCGGGUGAAGGCGGAGGUGAGGAAGGAAGGGGCUGGGAAAUGGGAAGAGGUCACUCUGUCUCGGAAACUACAUAACGACUGGGAAGGACCUCCAAACAAGACUGGAACCAGUAGGAAGUUGUACAGUGGGAAGAAGAGGAUGGUCAAGACUGACAUGGCUGGAAGAUGAGAGAACUCCCUCCUGAUGGUUUCUACUUGCCUUUGAAAUUCAUCAGCUAAGGGCGAGGAAGAGAAGUCGGGGUGUGAUUAUAUUAUAGAAGUCUCGUAUGUUUGACCCAACCACAAGAACCAUUGCACCAGAAGAGGCAAAAACCCCCCUAAGAGGGAGAGAAGAGAAAACAGCAACUGGUCAAAGAGAGGAACAGAAGAGUAAAUCAGAAAAGGAAAUGGCCACCCCUGUCUAAUUAGAUGGAGAGAUUACAUCCCCAACUCAUCUACAUCAUGUUUAAGGAUCUGAAUGGUCACUUUAGCUCCUGUUGCAUCUUAGUGGAGGCUGCUUGUGCAAAAUGAUGUUUGGCAAAAUCAAGGAGAAAAGACAACUGGGAUUUCAGUGAACUCCAUUUUCUUGGCUCACAAGUCACAAGCUCCAGUUAAGUGCCACCCUGAAUAAGUGGCUCCUUUGUGUUGAGGGCGAGACCACCCCCUGACCCAGAGAUGCGGUUUUGCAACACGCAGAUGGAGAUUUCCAGAAGUCCUCAGCUGGAGCAGCUAAAUGUGACUGAGACAACACAGUCCCAUAGACAAAGGGGAAUUCUGUGACUUAUCUCUUGCUUAUAAAUAUGAAUCUGAAAAGAAAAAAAUAUUGAAAUAUAGAAGACCAGUUGAAAAGACCUGCUAACAUGGACUCUUCUGUAAAUGAACAGCAAGUUAUUAACUGUUCUUAGGAGACCCCAUCUGUGGCUCCCAGAGGCCUUGUAGAUCCCAGACUCCCCCCAGCACCAUCUGCCCAGAAAUACUGCUCCAGGGUCAUUAUCACAAAAAGUGUCAAACAUUUCAAAAGACUGUAACUCUACACUAGAAUCUUGAUACCGCUAUGGCAGCAGAGUAUUCUUAGAGCUCAGGAGCAAGGGUCUCAGGAGGAAGAGAAGCAGAAGCAUGAGGCACAUGUCAGUGGAAUCUCACGUCUGUAGCUAGACCCACUGUUUGACAGAAACCGGCCAGCUGUGAUGGUAAAGGUGACUUUGGGGCUUAUUUCGAAAGUACUUAAACAUUGUGACUCACUGAACAAAGCUGAAUAAGGAAGAAGUACAACUACCUGUAACCAAGAUUGAUGACCUUGAUUGAAUGAAGAAAAACUUACCUGCCUUGAGAUGGAAAGAUUGAGAGAGAGAGAAGUAGUAUUGUGCGAUGGAUUCACCAUAUACUUGGGAUCUACCCCAUUCUAGUUCUAGCUGUGUGACACUGGGCAAGUUGCUUAACCUCUCUGGCCUCAUUUUUCUCACUGUACAGUAAGGAUAUAUACAUGAGGAAAUAAUUGAUAUCAUCCACAAAGGCAUGUUAACCAAGAGGAAAGACGGCUUUUAACUUCAAGUCCGCGUGUGGACCUCUUUCUGCAGAGACUGAGGAAGAGGUCAUGAAAGCCAAGGAAAGAAUGGGAACUGUCACUGACCCGAGGAGGCUGAGGAGGCAUGACAGCUAAAUGCAGUGCGGAAUCCUGGAUUGAAUUCUGGAACAAAUAAAGGACAUUCCUGCAAAACCGUACCAGCUACAGGAUGAAGCAGAAGUAGACCCAAAAGGACAUAAAAUGUGUUGAAGACUAUUUGUAGUUUGUGAACUUAAGCUAAUUAACAUUUGAAUGGCCCAACCGUGAUCAUCCUGAGGACAAAUAAGCAAGAGAGACUGAGGCACACCAUCUGGCUACCAUGAGACCAUUUGUUACCAUGGUUAGAAGGCUGCACAGGAGUUCUGGUGUUCUAUUUGCCUGUUAGUGGAAUCACUACCAACAACUCUUUUUCCCCUGAGUUCAGAAUCUAUUGAGAAAGAUACACACCCACAGGAGUCAGGCAAUUGGAGAGCAAAAGGUCACCCUUAUCACCCAGACUGCUGCUGGGGGGACCUCAUGCUUUGUCUGUCAGUGAGGUGGACUUGCUAAUAACCUCAGAGUCUCCGUCAGCUCUGGCCAACUGCAGCCCCUGCCUCCUGGGGCUCACCUGAGCUAUGCUCACAUAGCAGAGCAGGGCAGGCAGGCAGAUUUUGAAGGAAGAGCACACUCAGUCCCUUCUCUCAAACUCACCAACAGAACACUCACCUCUCUUCCCAAGGCAGGAGGCUGAACAGGGCCGGGACUAGGGUGAGGCAAGUGAGGCAGUGUAGUCUUUAUGUAAAAUUUUGAUAUUUUGUUCAUCUUAGAUUUU